GACAGCUGGUGAUAAGUGGAGGGCCCUGCACAGGAAAUCCGCUCAGCUUCUGCAAUGUGACCUGCCUGAAACUUGGGCGCUCCUUCAGUCAGGAUGUCCAUGGCGGGACAAAGGGGAUCCUGGACCAUGGGCGAUGUGGUAGAGAAGAGUUUGGAAGGGCCCCUGGCACCCUCUACAGAAGAGCCCUCCCAGAAAAGUGGAGAAUUGGUAGAAAUCUUAAAUGGGGAGAAGGUGAAAUUUGACGACUCAGGACUGUCCUUAAUUCUUCAGAGCGGCCUGGAGACCCUCCGAGUGGAAAACGCUCUGACAGAUGUCAUCUUGUGUGUGGACAUUCAGGAAUUCUCCUGCCACCGCGUGGUGCUUGCUGCGGCCAGCAACUACUUCAGGGCCAUGUUCUGCAAUGACUUAAAGGAAAAGUAUGAGAAGAGGAUCAUCAUUAAAGGGGUGGACGCCGAGACUAUGCACACGCUCCUGGACUACACAUACACCAGCAAGGCGCUCAUCACCAAGCAGAACGUCCAACGGGUCCUGGAAGCUGCCAACCUCUUCCAGUUCCUGCGGAUGGUGGAUGCCUGCGCCAGCUUCCUCACAGAAGCCUUGAACCCAGAAAACUGUGUUGGAAUCCUGAGGUUGGCAGACACACACUCUUUGGACAGUCUAAAGAAGCAAGUUCAGAAUUACAUCAUUCAAAACUUUGUGCAGAUUCUGAACUCCGAGGAGUUCCUUGAACUUCCCGUGGACACUCUGUACCACAUCUUGAAGAGUGACGACCUUUAUGUGACUGAGGAAGCUCAGGUGUUUGAGACUGUGAUGAGCUGGGUCCGCCACAAACAGUCAGAGCGACUCUGCUUGCUCCCCUGUGUUCUCGAGAACGUGCGCUUGCCACUUCUGGACCCGUGGUACUUUGUGGAGACGGUCGAAGCAGAUCCUCUCAUCAGACAGUGCCCAGAGGUCUUCCCACUGCUCCAGGAAGCCAGGAUGUACCACCUUUCUGGCAAUGAGAUCAUUUCGGAGCGCACCAAGCCCAGGAUGCACGAAUUCCAAUCUGAGGUGUUCAUGAUCAUUGGUGGCUGUACAAAGGACGAACGGUUUGUGGCAGAGGUAACCUGCCUGGAUCCCCUGAGGCGCAGUCGCCUGGAGGUGGCCAAGCUCCCAUUGACUGAGCAUGAGCUGGAGAUUGAGAAUAAGAAGUGGGUGGAGUUUGCAUGCGUGACAUUAAAAAAUGAGGUCUACAUCUCAGGUGGCAAAGAAACACAGCAUGAUGUUUGGAAAUACAAUUCUUCAAUCAACAAGUGGAUUCAGAUUGAAUAUUUAAACAUCGGCCGCUGGAGGCAUAAAAUGGUGGUGUUGGGUGGCAAGGUCUAUGUCAUUGGAGGUUUUGAUGGCUUACAGAGGAUCAACAAUGUGGAGACCUACGACCCCUUCCACAACUGCUGGUCGGAGGCUGCACCCCUCCUUGUCCAUGUCAGUUCCUUCGCCGCCACCAGCCACAAGAAGAAGCUCUAUGUGAUUGGGGGAGGGCCUAAUGGAAAACUGGCCACAGACAAAACUCAGUGUUAUGACCCUUCCACCAAUAAAUGGACUUUAAAGGCAGCCAUGCCUGUGGAGGCUAAAUGCAUCAAUGCAGUGAGUUUCCGGGACCGCAUCUAUGUUGUUGGAGGGGCCAUGAGAGCGCUGUACGCCUACAGCCCUCUGGAGGACAGCUGGUGCCUGGUGACGCAGCUCAGCCACGAGCGGGCCAGCUGCGGCAUCGCGCCCUGCAACAACCGGCUCUACAUCACCGGCGGGCGGGACGAGAAGAACGAGGUCAUCGCCACUGUACUGUGUUGGGACCCCGAGGCUCAGAAACUGACGGAGGAGUGCGUCCUGCCCCGGGGGGUGUCGCACCACGGCAGCGUCACCAUCAGGAAGUCCUACACCCACAUCCGGAGGAUCGUGCCCGGAGCUGUGUCUGUGUGACUGACAAGGGACCCUGGAGGGCGCCACCGGGAGCACUUAGUUCUACCUUGCGCCCUUCAUCCGUGUCCACCCGCAGGCUCCGCUUGUGUUUAAGGCCAUGAAUCGGGAGCGCACCCGGCUUGCUCUGGGGCACCUAGCAAGUCACGACUUUGGAACACUUGAAAAUGGCCAGGAAUGUUUGCAUGACCUACCUCAGGAGGAAGGAUGGAAGAAGAGUAAUAUUUAACAUUUGCGACACUUCUACCCUAUGCCAGGUCUUUUUCUAUAUUAACUCAUUUAACCAUGGGAAUGACCGCCUGCUGGGAUAUUGUCACUCUAGUCUGAGAAGAAACUGAGUUUCAGAAAGGUCAAGUGGCUUGCCCCCGGGUACUCAUUUAGCAAGUAGCUAUGCCAGGAGUAUAAACCCAAGUCUUUCCAGUUCAAAGCCAAUGUCCUCCCCACCAUGUGCCUAACUGAGAGGAGGAAAAUCAAAACCCAAACCUGACUCAGGUCUUGUUCUGGCCAGUCUGUUAGAAGAUUGACUCAGCAAGGCAGGGAAAUAAAGGUGUUUCUUUUUCCUUUUUUUUUUUUUUCCUUUUCACUCCUGUAUUUAAAUCUUAUGAAAUCCUUAGUGUUGGAGACUUUGGGGGCUUUUGUCAAGAGUGUCUCAUAGGCUGUCCCACUUGACAGGGGAGGCAGUUCUGGGAAGACCAGUUUGUAUUGAAAGAGAUAAAAAGUUUUGUUCUCCUGGCAUCAAAGCUUUUCUUUUUUAUGGUCACUGGAUGGCCCAUUUUGGACUUGAACUGACAUUGCCAGAUGGAAUUACCUUCACCACAGUCUGGUGCCUGGACUCUUAAUGUCCAACAGUUGUACUGUAAUGUAGAAAAGAGGUUUCCAGAGACUCAAACUAUUGUUUUUUAAAUAUGUAAACAUCUCAACACUGCUGGCCACUGCAGGAAUGUCAGAUUCUUCUUGACAGUGUACUUUCUACUUUAAGACUGUGAUCUGGACCCACUCACCUGAAGUUUUCAGGAUAUUUUAAAGCCUAUCUUCUUGAGUUUUGAAUAAGCUUGGCUCAAUUUUGAUUCUAAGAACAGAGUCUGCCCUUCACUCUAAGAAAAGAACUUUCAAAUGAGCUCACUGGAAAUUCAUUCUAAUCCCCAAGAUAGAGAAACAGGUUAAGAGAUCCUGUUUCAUACGCUGUAGUUAAAAACAUAGCAACUGCAUUACCCCAGAUCACUGUCUGAGCCAUUUGUGACCUACAGGAAAAAUCAGUCUUAGUCCAAAGGCUAUUUCAGGGAAGAGAUUCCAAAGAGGAAAUCCAAUGACAACAUCACUGGCAUACAACUCUCAGAAAGAGAAUGUUCCUUGCCAGGGAUCCAAUGGGUACUGUCCUUUGAUAGAAGCAAUCAGCAAACUUACAGUUCUUUAGAGGUGUGUGUGUAUGUGUGUGGGGGGGGGGUGUUUAAGAUUGUGCUGGGAAAGUGAGGACAUAGGAUCUCUAAGUUAUAAACCUGAUUCUAAAUGCAGUUCUGAAGUUUCAGGGGUAAUUCAUAAUGUCUAAGUUCACACAAGGGGAGGAGUCUCUAUGAUUUUUGUAACACCAAUAAACAUGUGAAUUGUGGUAAAGUUACAGGUAUUCAAGAUCCAGGAGUUCUUAAUAAUAAUGUGGGUCAGGGGACAGAUUUACCUAUUAAGAAGAUCUAGAGUGGUGCAUGCCUGUUAUCCCAGCAGUUCGGGAGGCUGAGGCCGAAGGAUUGAGAGUUCAAAGCCAGCCUCAGCAAAAGCAAGGUGCUAAGCAACUCAGUGAGACCCUGUCUCUAAAUAAAAUACAAAAUAGGACUGUGGAUUUGGCUCAGUGGCUGAGUGCCCCUGAGUUCAAUCCUUGGAAAACCCCCCUCCAAAAAAAGAUCUAGGGUUCUGCAUUUGAAGCUGCCAGCCUGUAGCUUUUAGGAAAGGAAAAAAAGUUCAAGUCAUUUUGGGGAAACUUUGCAAGUAUAGUCAUCAGAGUUUAAGCUUCUAGGCACUAGAAGCUCUUAAAAUCUACUUUUCAUUCCAAGUUAAUAAAACAAAAUCCCAAGUUUGCACCAAGUUAAUGGUUAUGUACCACCAAUAUGGGGAGAGCAAGCUGAGGCUAACCCAGAAACAACCCCAGGACUCAGAGGGGGGAUAGAAGGAGGUUCUGCCACAGUUGGCAUGUUGAGGCAGGGCCUCUGCAUGGAUAGACAUGGUAGAGGAGGAGGAGGUCAGGUUUUGAAGAUGAGGGUCUAGAAAAUGAUAUUGCGGCCCAGGAGUUUGUAAGUGUGACUCCAGUCCCAAGAAGGGCAAGAAAGAAUAAAGGAGCAGGGGACUUGCACACAAGGAAACAAAGAGGGAACCUACUUCCUAGAACUGAGGCACAAGUUAGAGCAGGGCCAACAGUUGGGGCAAUUUGCUGUGGGGCCUGUGAGCUGCCUGGUUGGGUCUUGCAUCCUAAUGGAGAUAACAAGACCCAGAGCCUUUGAUGGAGUAGAAUCUGUAGAAGAGGUUAAGGCUGGUCAAGGCUGGUCUGACAGGCAGGGAGUUAAGCUCACCAAAACACUGACAGAUAAAUGUCUUCUUCUUUGCUUUCAGCCAUUCUGGUCUCAGUGGUUUCAGGAAACACACACAUGUAAAACUCCAUGUCCUUGAACUCAAAGUAACCAUGCUCUCAGGGAAAUAACAAUUAUCAUUCUCAACAUUCUUUUAUAGCUGUGAAAGCAUAGCUUUGCUAUUUAUAAAAGUUGAGGUAGUAGUGUUCAUUCUUUACUUGUCCUAUUUGAUUUUGAAAAAUAAAAGUACUCCAUAAUUUUUAAAGUGAGUAGACAUCAAUGGAUUUUUUUUUUGUAUGAAGUCCUAAUUUGGGGUUGCAAAGUCAUUUUUUCUUCUAAGUGUUAGAUCUCAUGAUUCAAAGAGUCAACUUCCAUGUAAAUUCCCAUAUGUCUCAAAUAUAGGUACUGCAAAGCCAGUCCUGACAGGUCAGAUUUUUAUAUUUAUAGGCAUAAAUAGUGAACCAAACCAUUUAAGCAUUUUUGGUUUCAUGAGAUUGUAGUUUUUUUAAGUGAUCAAAGCAAGGAUGUUGUUUAUAGGUUAAAGAAGUUUUAAUUUAUUCAAUAAAAUGUGUAUGGAAUGGAUAAGAAUGUGUUGUAUAUAAUCAAUGAUUUUUUUUUACUUCUUUUGGUUGAUAUGAAUAAAUACUAUCUGAAUUGAAAUUAAAUGUAGUUGGUGGGAAUUUAAAAUGUUUCAGUAGAUCAAGAGAGUUUAGAUUAAUGCAGAAGACAACAUUCACCAGGUUUGCUUUGUAGAAUGGUUAACAGUACAGUUUUUCCCUCCCUAAAUCCACAUUGCCUCUCUGAACAAGCUUUCCCAAAUCAUUUGCAAUGUAUGCGACUUUCAUCCUGCCUGGCCUCACCCCCUCUUACAGGAUGCCCUCUUUUAGGUUUUGAUUCCAGAUCUGACUUCUAAGCCCUCUACCAGUGUCUUCCAUGUCAUCUCUGAGGCCCCAACCAACCCCAUUCUUUUCGCAUCAGUAUAUGAGAUGAAGGGCUGUAGUUCUCACCCACUGAAGAACUUGACAUCAUUUUGGUUUGUUUUGGAUUAUAAUGCAAAAGUCCUACAGAACUGAAAAGGAAACUUGAGGCUCCAAAGAAAUUUGGUGUUCCAUGAAUAGCUUUGGACCAUUCCCUCUUGGUUUCUUAUUCUUCUGCCUUAGGAGGUCUUGGUGGAAAACCUUGGGAAGCACAGAUUCAUCUCAUGGGGAGAGUUGUUCUGGAGUUGAUUCUGGGCUAGAAAUCCAAUGGCCAUGACUUUAUGCUCAGCCAAUUUAUUAACUUUAUGCUCAGCCAAUUUUCCUAUGGGAUCUCAGGGAUAAUUGGAUACUCAGUCCUCUCCCUGUUCCUGUGGGCCCAUGCCUCAUUUUGUGUUUGUGUACACUGUCAUAGUUCAAGAUCCCUGGUCUAGGGACCUGUCAAGGUCUAGUGCAUCCUGGCCUUAGCAUUGAUCUGCCUGUUUACCAUUCACUGUUUUUCACUUCUGUUUUUUUUUUUUUUUUUCAUCUGAGAUUUUCCUUUUCUUCUUGCCGGCUCAGAUGUCUGAGGUCAGUUGUUAGCUACAACAAACUGUAAAUUAUUUCGACAAUUUUGAACUUUUUCAGGUAGUACUUCAAAAGGGUGUGUGUGGGGGUCAUCCCAGGGUUGUAGCCUGGGAAUACUGGAAGCCAUGCUGACACGGGAGUUUCCUAGGGCAGGGUUUGAAUGGGAAGCAGGGGCAGGGAGCUUCAAGGUCCAGGCUUAUUUGCUUUAUGAAACAGAUAAGAGUUCAAGAAAAUGAUGUGUUGACCACUUGCACUGAAGUUGGCAGUAUUUCGGAAAAAGAACUGACCAAUUUCUGCAACACAGAAGGCCCCACUGUGAGGCCAGGAGUGCCAAACCACUCCUUCUAGAACCUUCAGAAAACAACCAAAGAGAAAAAUAGUAUGGAAACUUCUUUGAACCUAUAUAGGCCACAAGCAAUGCUUUUAAACUUUUAAAAUCAUGUGUCAAUAAAAUACAUCUUUCAGUAUGUCUUAUUUUAGUUUUUCAUGAAGUGCUGUUCACAGUUCAGCAAAUUAACUUCAUCACUGGCCAAUGGGUCACAAAUCACAAACCACAUCUGAAAGACAAGAAGGGCACUGACUAGGGAAAGGGCAGGCAGCAGGUAGGGGAGAGGAGCCAACCUUUGGUUUCACAUAUAACUCAACACCACCUAGAAAUCUGAGGGGCAAAUCUGACUGCACAAAGGAAUCUUUUGAGUCUGACCUUAGAUAGACAGGAUUUUUGCGGAUGAAAUUCAUUCUUUCAUAAUAAAGAUGUAGUAAUAGGAGCAUCUAUUGAGUAAUUUCCCAGAAACACAAGACUGAACCAGAACUAGUCAAAGAGAUUAGGCCAGUGACAAAACUCAUCUAAGCAGAAAUGCUAAGAUUUUUUUUUUUUGAUGCUGGGGAUCGAACCCAGGGCCUUACACAUGUAAGGCAAGCACUCUACCAACUGAUCUAUAACCCCAGCCCCAGAAAUGCUAAGAUUUUUAAUUGUCAAAGUGCAUCCUGGUAGAAUGUAGCAUUCCCAGAAAAGGUCACUGUAGAAGCCUGGAGAAAAAGCAGUACAUUAGGGGCUGUGGCUGUGGCUCAGUGGUAGAGUGCUUUCCUAGCAUGUGUGAGGCACUGGGUUUGAUCCUCAGCACCUCAUAAAAAUAAGCAAAAUAAAAUAAAGCAUGCUGUUCAUCUACAACUACCAAAAAACAUUUUAAAAAAAGCAAUACAUUGGAUUUUGUUCUAAGUCCUUUGUAGACGUUUGUGAAAGAAGUAAUCGGGUGAGAUUACUUCUUUCAGAUAUUUUCUGAGCUCCUACUAUGUGCCAGGCAUGAUUUUUAGGCACUAGGGCUCCAUCUGUAAACAUCACACCUUGCUUUCAUGAGCUGACAUUCUAGUGGCAAGAGCAAUAACCAAACCAAAACAUAAUACGAUACCAAGUAGUGAUAAGUUCUGGAAGACAAGUCAGGCUGGGCGAGGUUAUGCAGGCUACUAUAAGUACCUUGUCUGGUAUGGAGACCCUUAAAUAGAAACUCGCAAGAAGAGAAAGUGUGAGGCCCAAGGUACCUGGGGGAAGCUUGAUCCAGGUAGCAGGAACAACCAUAGCAAAAACUCUGGGGCAAGAGACUCAAUGUGUUUAAGGACCAGUAAGAAGGCCUGUGUGAAUGAAGUGAAUUCAAACCUAUGACUGGGAGUCUCAAAAGUGACUGUAAGCAUGCUGAGUAUAACUGCAUAAGAUGAUAGCAAACAAGGCAGUUUCAGAAAGGCUAAAGAUUCACAAAUGUUGCACACUCAUACAUAUGGCUUUCAAAUUCAAGUCAGCUACAUUCAUAGGAGGUCGUUAAUUGGAAGGAAUUGCCACCUUGAACCCCAAAGUGUUUGUAACCUAACAAACUUUGAGCUCUUUACCCAAAUCCUUCAUUUUUCGGAUCCUAUCCUGAGCACUAUUGUCAUGGAGGGCAAGGAUGGCUGUCCAAGCUGACUAGCCAACCGGUGGAGUUGGGGAGAAGCCAGAUCACUAAGACCUGCUGCUCAUUCCUUGUGUAAAUGGAAGUAGCAGCACUCGGAUCACAUGGGCCCUCUUGUUCAUUGCCUCUUCAUCCUGGUGGUGGGGACAAUACCCACUGGGAGGGAUAAAAGGGAAUAAAAGCCAAAACUUUUAAAGUCGGUGAGAUUAAGAAGCCUAUCUGAUUUUUAAAAACAGCUCAUUGGUGUAGGCCGAGAUUCAGCACAUUAAAAAUCAAACUGCAGUUGGCCCUCUCUGUGCACAGCUCUACAUCCAUGGAUUCAAUCAACCACCUGUUGAAAAUAUUUGAAAAAAUUGUGCCUGUAUUGAACAUGUACAGACUUUUUCCUUAUCUUUAUUCCUGGAACAAUGUAGUAUAAAAACUAUUUAAAUAGCAUUCACGUUGUUAAGCAUGAUAAGAAAUCUAGAGGUGAUUUAAAGUCUAUGAGAAGAUGUACAAAGGUUUUGUGCAAAUACUAUGUCACUUUGCAUAAGGAACUUGAGAGCAUCCUUGGAUUUUGGUGUCUACAGGGAGUUUGGUCUAUUCCCCACAGAUACUGUAAUAAACCAGUGUAAUAAAACACCAGAGUGGCUAAGUGCAAACCAA